CAGGGUUCAUGUUUGAAUUCCCCAAAUAACUGACCCCCUCCGGGCCAGCGGUUGGGAUUUUCCAUUACAGGGAUCCGGUAGGUCAUGCCCAGCAUCUGCCCUCCUUCUCUUCCUGGGUUACAGCAGGAAGGGUGAGUGGAAGGGGGCAACUCCCUUCUCUGCACCGGCCCCUCCACCGACCUUGACUUUGGACCUGGGGAGAUCAGGUAGUGGGAGGAAACAACAAGGAGAAAACAGAUCCAAGUUCAAGCCUCGGUGUGUAGAGAGGAGAGUGAGAGAAGUAAUUGAAGAUGCAGCAAGAAGGCUCAUGGUUAGACAACAGGAGGGACUGCCUGAAGAAGUCGAUGAAAGAGAGACCCACAGGUUGGGGGCAGCCUUGCCCUGGGUGGACAAGAGAUGACUUGGGAUUUAGGAAGCAGCCACUCAUCGGUUCCUGGGUCAGAGUGCCCCGGUUAUCUUCUGCAGGACACAAGACCUCCGACUCCAGGACAUCAACCAGAAUAGACGCCACCUGGUCUUUUGAUCUGGGGUGCCUGGUUGGGCUCCUGCUUCCUUUGAACACAGCCAGUGGUGCCAGCAUGGACCAAUGCCCUUGGGGUAAGAAGAGGGAAGCAGAGACCAAGAAAGACUUGAAGGCGUUCCGGACCCCCAGAUGGGCCAGGAGGCCCUGAAAACACCUGAGACGCAGGGCAGCAGCCUCACUCUGCACAACGAGCUCUCCUUGGGACCUCAGGGAGCUCGGCCUCUCCUGGGCCUCAGUCUCUCUGCAAGUCCUGGACCCAUUCACCCUGUGCUCUCUCUUGAUGUUCUCAGCCCUCCCCCUUGGGGAACAUGAAGGCCCCCAUAGACGGCUCAGCCAGUGGGGCGGGUUCCCAUUCAGGCCACCGCCCCCUUCAGACUCUCCCAGUGUUUCUGGAGCACUGAUGGUGUGCCAGGCUCCCUGCACACAGGUGCUAGAGAGACUGCUGCAAUCAAGGCGAGCAAGAGGCUGAAUGGCAACACGGUCAGGAACUGCUGUGCAGUCAGAAUGUCUGGAUAAGAAACCCUAGAUCUGUGAUUUCCCUGCUGGUCCAGUGGUUAAGACUUCAUGCUCCUACUGCAGAGGCUUCCAAGGUGGUGCUAGUGUUGCUUGGCACAUGUCUGUGGCACUUCUACUCCUUGCCAGGCACUGUACUAGGCCUGGGGGCAGAGCCAAGAAGAGCCAACAGUGGCCUUGAGCAGCUCACAGCCAGGAUGCAGAGGCAGAUAUAAACCAAGGCUGGGAUGACAAUGCAGAGUGGAGAACACCAUCCAAGGUCUGAGAACAGGUGCUGGGAGAGCGGGGGAGGCUGCAUGGGCAUCAGGGCCCCAGGCCCGCUCCCUCCCAUGGCGAGCUCCUGCACCCAUCUGUUUCUUUGUUUUUGUAAUCUUUAUUUCUGGCUUUGUUUUCCCUUUCCUUUCCCAACAGAGAGCCUUUGGAAAAAUUCCACCCUUGUUUCAGUUGGACUAGGGAAAAGGGGACUUGUCCACUCUUCGGCCAGGAGAGCUAAGGGGUGCCAGGUUCCUGGAGAGUCCAGGGCGCUUGGAAACGCCGGGCCUCGGAGGUAGACGCGAGCCUUCCAUACCAUCAGCAGCUCUAGAGGGCUGUGUAAGUGCACUCACGGAAUUCUCACCCCUUCUUCUCUCCCCACCCCACCCCCGCACACAUACACACCUGCCUCUUACUGAUUCCUCUUUUCCCGAGCCUCAGCACUGCCUCCAUUCAUCCAACAGAUAUUUAUUGAACACCCACUGUGUGUCAGGAGCUGGAAAUACACUGGUGGGAAAACACUAUUAUUUCAAAAGUUUGCACAGAUGCCAGGAGAGAGUGUGUGGUUGCGCACGUGCACGCACAUGUGUGUGUAUGAAUAAGUGUGUGAGGAGGAAGCAUUAAGGGAGCAGGAGCAAGAGGAAUGUUAUGAGCUUAAGCUCGUGAGUUAAACAGCUGGCUUUGGCUUCCAGGUGCUACCAUUUGCUAGCCUGGUGACCUUGGGGAAGUGAUGUAUCCUCCCCAGGCCUCCUGCUCCCAUCUGUAAAUAGGUAACAAUAGGACUCAGCCCUCCGGGUUGUUGCGAGGGCCAAGGGAGUGAGUGUGCGUGUGCAGGGUCUGCAGAGCAGUGCGGGCACACAGCGGGUGUUCACUAUCAGCAGUUCCUGGUGCCUCCUCCUCACCUUGCUCAGAGCUGGGUGUGGACACACUUGCGAACGACCUGUUCUCCAAAUCUGAUCCCCACUCACUGACUCAGAGGCAGCCACUUGGAGUUAACCACCUCCUGCCCCACCCCCGGAGGCUCAGCUACAACUUGCAGCCCACAGAUCUGUCUAGCCAGACUGCUGCCAUCUUCUGCCCUUACUCAGUCCCCACUCCCCCACGCCAGCUGUUCGGGUGGGGAAGAAGUGAUCUCACACAGCAGGGGUUGCCUCAGCCCCGUGCCACCCUCCAGACAUAUGUCUGCAGCACCAGCUCCCUCGUAGCUGGCUGGGGAUGGAGUAGAGGGAUGGGGGAGCCUUUGGGGUGGAGCCCGGG
ensembl:lncRNA